UUUAUUGGAGAGUUUGAUCCUGGCUCAGGAUGAACGCUGGCGGCGUGCCUAAUACAUGCAAGUCGAGCGAAUGGAUUAAGAGCUUGCUCUUAUGAAGUUAGCGGCGGACGGGUGAGUAACACGUGGGUAACCUGCCCAUAAGACUGGGAUAACUCCGGGAAACCGGGGCUAAUACCGGAUAACAUUUUGAACUGCAUGGUUCGAAAUUGAAAGGCGGCUUCGGCUGUCACUUAUGGACGGACCCGCGUCGCAUUAGCUACUUGGUGAGGUAACGGAGCACCAAGGCAGCACAGAGUAGCC
rnacentral:rRNA from 1 species